rnacentral:rRNA from 1 species
AGCAGCCGCGGUAAUUCCAGCUCCAAUAGCGUAUAUUAAAGUUGUUGCAGUUAAAAAGCUCGUAGUUGAAUUUCGGGAUCAAUAUGUUGGUCGUGCCUCGGUACGUACUAGCUUAUUGGUUUCUCCUUUCUGAAGAACCAUGAUGUCAUUUAUUUGGUGUCGUGGGGAAUCAGGACUGUUACUUUGAAAAAUUAGAGUGUUUAAAGCAGGCUCACGCUUGAAUACAUUAGCAUGGAAUAAUGAAAUAGGACGUUUGAUUCUAUUUUGUUGGUUUUUAGGAUCGACGUAAUGAUUAAUAGGGAUAGUUGGGGGCAUUAGUAUUCAAUUGUCAGAGGUGAAAUUCUUGGAUUUAUUGAAGACUAACUACUGCGAAAGCAUUUGCCAAGGAUGUUUUCAUUAAUCAAGAACGAAAGUUAGGGGAUCGAAGACGAUCAGAUACCGUCGUAGUCUUAACCAUAAACUAUGCCGACUAGGGAUCGGAUGAUGUUAAUUUUUAAUGACUCAUUCGGCGCCUUACGGG